GACCCCUUGGCUCAGUGGUAGAGCAUCUGAUUCCAGCGUAGUUUUCCCACGGUGCUUCGCACUGAGCUAAACGGUUUCCAGAAGGUCGUCCGUUCGAUCCGGGCAGGGGUCA